rnacentral:rRNA from 1 species
UACGUAGGUGGCAAGCGUUGUCCGGAUUUACUGGGCGUAAAGAGCGCGCAGGCGGUCGUUCAAGUCGCGUGUGAAAGCCCCCGGCUCAACUGGGGAGGGUCACGCGAUACUGCUCGACUCGAAGGCAGGAGAGGGAAGUGGAAUUCCCGGUGUAGUGGUGAAAUGCGUAGAUAUCGGGAGGAACACCAGUGGCGAAGGCGACUUCCUGGCCUGUUCUUGACGCUGAGGAACGAAAGCGUGGGGAGCGAACAGG